UACGGGGGGAGCAAGCGUUGUUCGGAUUUACUGGGCGUAAAGGGCGCGUAGGCGGCCACCGCAAGUCGAUUGUGAAAUCCCCGGGCUUAACCCGGAAAGGUCAACCGAUACUGCGGGGCUAGAGUGCAGAAGGGGCAACUGGAAUUCUCGGUGUAGCGGUGAAAUGCGUAGAUAUCGAGAGGAACACCUGCGGCGAAGGCGGGUUGCUGGGCUGACACUGACGCUGAAGCGCGAAAGCUAGGGGAGCGAACGGG
rnacentral:rRNA from 1 species